rnacentral:lncRNA from 1 species
GGCAUUCCAUAGUGAAAUUUAAAAAUACCUUUCUACUACUAGGUUGCCUACUGUGUCUCUGGCUGGUACAACAAAAGUGCAUACAGAAGAGCACCUCGCCAGCAUGGCCCUGGAAGACAGCAGGAGGCCUGCAGAAUGCAGAAGCCCAGGCCCCGACGGCUUGUCAAGGAACAGCACGGCUUCCAAUGGGAGUGUCGACUACAGCAGGUCUCAGUGCUCCUGCAGGAGCCUGAGCUCCCACUAUGACUAUUCAGAAGACUUUGUCUCUGAAUGUUCAGAAGUAGCUGCUAGCAGGAAUUUUUUAGGGCAACCUAUGGCAACAGAAAAGAAAGAAGAGAAUAAAAAGUAUACUGCUUCUAAAACCGCCCAGCCUACAGGUAAGAGGCAAGAUUUCUCAGCCAA